GUACACACCGACAGGAAACCGUUUGAUAACAAGUUGUUGGUUUUCCGGAGGAAGUCGAACAGAAAUUUCCUAUUUUACCCUCGAAGAAAAAAAAAACUACUUCCACAUCCGGUUAAAGUGUUUUCUUGAGCCGCAGCGGAGUCGCUGCUCUGCCCGGCUGCUGUCGCCACUCCUGCCGCUGAAUCUGUCCCUGUUCACUGACUCAGCUUCACCCGAAAAACACCGAUUCCGUCACUUUAUGUCUCCCUUACGUCACCGAGACUCUGUCACGUGCUCACCUGCGGGAAACGAGCGUAAAACUGCGAAUUUCUGUGUUUUUCCUGUUACAAAGAUGGCGGCUCCGCGACACCGGAGGUGGAAGCCAGAGUGCGCGUUAACCUCCCAGUGGGCAGGGCCUGAGAGCGCGCGCACACAAACUGACCAGAGUUCUGUUCAAACUGCUGAGUGACGCUGCGGUUUUGUUUUCAAACUCAUUUAAAUUACUUAAAAAAAAAAUAAUCACGUUUUCGUAAUGAUAUUCUCAUGUUUGACUUAAUGUUUUUAUAUAUAAAUAAUAAUAAUAAGAAUAAUGUUGAAGUGUUACUUUCUUGCCUGCUGACACGCUCACAGACACCAGAAGGGGGCACUGUUCAUUACCACAUGUAGUCACUUCAGAGGUCAAAGUGUUUUCUGAUGAAUAAAUGUUUUAUUGUUGUUGACAAACAGCAGCAUGAGACACACACGUGAAAAUAAAUGUCUACUUUUCUAAUAAUAAAUAAAUCAUUUGACAUGACACAUUAUAAACAUUUUUCUAAAUAACUUAAUCAUUUGAUCAUAAAUAAAUACAUUCAUAAAAUAUGUGAGUGAUGAGUUACACAUCCAUUAUUUCUCAUUUAAAGUUUAGUUUCAGCUGAAAUGAUGUGGGUUUUAUAAUAAUGAGUGUGUCUGGUGUUAAAUCUGACCCAGGACCAGUCUCUGUACCUGUGGAGGGCUUUUAUUUUAAUUUUAUGAUGUUUGGUAAAAUGUCUCCAGAGAAAAGCAGCAGAGCCUGCUCCGGGAUCAGGGGUCAGGUCUCAGAGCAGCAGGUUGAGGUCGGCCAGCAGAGUGUCUACAUCCGCGAUGGGAGCUCUCCAGUAGUUGAAGGAGGAAAACUGCAGCAGCGCAGUCUGAAGAAGAACAACACAUGUGGUUAUACUUCAGAGAACAGCAACUGCUCCUCUGCUGCCUCGUGUGAUCACCUUGUGUCACUGAGGUCGUUCUGAAUGUUGGAUUACAAACAGUGAAGUGACAAAAGAAGACAUUUGAACUCAGUGAUGGAGGCUGCAGUGGAUCAACAACUCCUGAAAAUCACUGCUGUGAGCUUUGGUGUGGGAGAGUGAGUCUGUGUGUGUUGUUUACAAAAGUCUGUCUCACAGUGAGGUAAAGACGUGAUCACGUGACGUAGAGAACUGAACCGACGUAGAUUUGAUUACAUACGUUUUUAGUGAAAGUGACUAAAUCUGUCGUGUUUCCACUGAUAUAUCACGCUAAUGUUUAAGACUGUCAUACACUGACCCUCACCCUGAAAAACAUGCAAACACAGCCAGUCACAGCUCCACCGACUGGCAGGAGGACAAAGUGUUUGAAGGAAACUGUUCAGUUCAGGCCACACUGUGGUGUAGUGGAUAGCACACUUGUCUUUGCAGCAAGAAGACCCGGGUUCCAGCCCCGUUCUGCAUGGAGGUCACAUGUUCUCCUCGUGUGUGCAUGGGUUUUCUCCGGGUUCCUCCCACAGUCCAAAAACAAGCAAUAUGGGGAUUAGGUCAGCUGGUCACUCUAAACUGACCACAGUUGUGAAUGUGUCUCUGUGUUUAUGUGGCUCUGUGAUGGACACUCCAGGGUGUGACCCCACCUAUCAGGGUGUGACCCUAUGUCAGCUGAGAUUGGCACAGCCCCCUGCGACGCUACUGUGGAGGAUAAAGUGGUAGAUGAUGGAUGAAGAGCUCCAGUCCUCGUCUCUAAUCAUGACAUUGACAAUAAUCAGUUUUGUCGGCCUGAAUUCCUCCAUGUUUGUUUGUUUUCUUCUGCUGAGAAAAUAUAGCAGGUGGCCAAGAGGAAAGGAAAUGGGCUUGUAACCAAAGGGUUGCAGGUUAAAAUCCCAGGAUGGGUCAAGUGCUAGGGUGUCCCUGAGCACAUAAUCCCCAUGGCUGUGUGUGUGUGUAAUGAUGAUACUGACUGACUUCUCAUGUUUUCAGUUUGAGUGGGAGGUAAACAGUGGAGUGGAGAGUCUGACUCUGAUCCCGCUGAACGUAAACAGUCACAUGAUCUGAGUGAGUGGCAUGUUUUAAUCUAACAUGUCUCACAUGUUUCUCGCGUAAACUGGUGCGUCUGUCAAUACUGUCCCUCUGUCUGUGGCUCUGAGCUCAUUGGUUCUUAUCGAUCACAUGACCUUGGUUUUAUUAGAUUAAAAACAGAAACUAACAAACUC